CCCUUAGAUGUUCUGGGCUGCACGCGCGCUACACUGAAGCUAUCAACACGUUUUCCCUCCCUGAGAAGGGCGGGUAACCUUUUGAAUCAGCUUCGUGGUAGGGAUCGGGGCUUGCAAUUGUUCCCCGUGAACCAGGAAUUCCUAGUAGACGCGAGUCAUAAGCUCGCAUCGAUUAAGUCCCUGCCCUUUGUACACACCGCCCGUCGCUACUACCGAUUGAACGUUUUAGUGAGGCAUUUGGACCGACGCAUCUCAGUUUAACCGCUGGUUUGUGUUGGAAAGACUUCCGAACUUGAGCGUUUAGAGGAAGUAAAAGUCGUAACA
rnacentral:rRNA from 1 species